rnacentral:tRNA from 1 species
GGUGAGGUGCAGGAGUCCGGCUGAACUGGCGGCACUGGAAAUGCCGUAGGGGCGCAAGCCCCUCGUGGGUUCAAAUCCCACCCUCACCGCCA